GACAAGUUUCUGUGUUGCUUAACUCCCACCAGCAUACCUCUAAUCUGUUCCCGUUUUUGUACUUGUGUUUCUGAAUUGCUGCCCAUUUUUGACCCUUUUGGAUGUGUUUGCCUGCACAAUAUCGCAUGUCUACAGUUUGGUCCUGUGGUUGUGGAUAUAAAUCUAAGACAUCCUCCCCGUGUUCGACGACGACGAUGUCACCUACAAAAUGGCCCCAAAGUGUGCCCUUCACAGGAUUACCACAGACCUGACCGUGAACACCGUUGACGUCCACCUGAGGGAGACGCUGUCUAAGAUCUCCAGGCUGCUUGGUCGUGACCUUUCUGGUCCUUCUCCAGAAUGCCUUCAUCAACUACGUCUUCUUUAGAAGAGGCCCUCAUCUGCUGCAAUCUCUGACCUUAAGGAGGAACUGCUACUUUCACUCUGCAACGAGACGGCGGUUAUUUUAAUUUAAAAGCUGAUAUCUAGAUGUUUUCCAUGGUUUUCUUGAUAAUAACCAAAAUCACUUCAGUUCUUACAUUUAUAGCUAUGGUAUUGUGCUGCCAAAAAAAGCUUUUAGGCAUUCCAUGUUUUCUUUUCUGUCUGUUUUAGUCACAUGACACACAGAGGAGUUAGUACUUGAUUGCAUAAUCAUUGUUUUUGAUGACUGCAGCUCUUUUUUUUUGGCAUUAUGUGAGAGCUGACAACUUCUAAGUAGUGCUACGUCUUGAACGUCAGCAGGAAACCACUCUAGGCCUUUACAUGUGCAGUGCUGCUUAUGACAUGAAAUGUCCUCUUAUAUACCCUGGGAAUACAAUAAAGCUUAAGCAUGUCAA